UUACUUGGAUAACUGUGGUAAUUCUAGAGCUAAUACAUGCAAACAGAGCUCCGACCGGAGACGGAAGGAGCGCUUUUAUUAGAUCAAAACCAAUCGGUGGCGGGUUCGCUCGUCAUCGAACAAUUUGGUGACUCUGAAUAACUUUACGCUGAUCGCACGGUCUCGCACCGGCGACGCAUCUUUCAAAUGUCUGCCUUAUCAACUGUCGAUGGUAGGUUCUGCGCCUACCAUGGUUGUAACGGGUAACGGGGAAUCAGGGUUCGAUUCCGGAGAGGGAGCCUGAGAAACGGCUACCACAUCCAAGGAAGGCAGCAGGCGCGCAAAUUACCCACUCCCGGCACGGGGAGGUAGUGACGAAAAAUAACGAUACAAGACUCAUCCGAGGCCUUGUAAUCGGAAUGAGUACACUCUAAACCCUUUAACGAGGAUCAAUUGGAGGGCAAGUCUGGUGCCAGCAGCCGCGGUAAUUCCAGCUCCAAUAGCGUAUAUUAAAGUUGUUGCGGUUAAAAAGCUCGUAGUCGAAUCUGUGUCCCGCGCCGCCGGUUCAUCGUCCGCGGUGUUAACUGGCGUGCCGCGGGACGUCCUGCCGGUGGGCUUAGCUCGUCAGAGCGGCCCAAUCCAAUCCCGCCGCGGUGCUCUUCAUUGAGUGUCGAGGUGGGCCGGCACGUUUACUUUGAACAAAUUAGAGUGCUUAAAGCAGGCUAAAACUUCGCCUGAAUACUGUGUGCAUGGAAUAAUGGAAUAGGACCUCGGUUCUAUUUUGUUGGUUUUCGGAACCCCGAGGUAAUGAUUAAUAGG
rnacentral:rRNA from 1 species